CAAUGUAGACCCUGCUGUCUGUUAAACAUGCAGUCGAACGAACUCUUCGGAGUGAGUGGCGGACGGGUGAGUAACGCGUGAGAAUCUGCCUGUGGGUCGGGGACAACCACUGGAAACGGUGGCUAAUACCGGAUGAGCCGAAAGGUAAAAAAUUUAUUGCCCACAGAUGAGCUCGCGUCUGAUUAGCUAGUUGGUAAGGUAAAAGCGUACCAAGGCGACGAUCAGUAGCUGGUCUGAGAGGAUGAGCAGCCACACUGAGACUGAGACACGGCCCAGACUCCUACGGGAGGCAGCAGUGGGGAAUUUUCCGCAAUGGGCGAAAGCCUGACGGAGCAAGACCGCGUGGGGGAGGAAGGUUUUUGGAUCGUAAACCCCUUUUGUCAAGGAAGAAGUUCUGACGGUACUUGACGAAUAAGCCUCGGCUAACUCCGUGCCAGCAGCCGCGGUAAUACGGAGGAGGCAAGCGUUAUCCGGAAUGAUUGGGCGUAAAGCGUCUGUAGGUGGCCAGCUAAGUCUGCUGUUAAAGAUCACAGCUCAACUGUGGGAAGGCAGUGGAAACUGGCAAGCUAGAGGCUGGUAGGGGUAAAGGGAAUUCCCGGUGUAGCGGUGAAAUGCGUAGAUAUCGGGAAGAACACCGGUGGCGAAAGCGCUUUACUGGGCCAGACCUGACACUGAAGGACGAAAGCUAGGGGAGCGAAAGGGAUUAGAUACCCCUGUAGUCCUAGCUGUAAACGAUGGAGACUAGGUGUAGCACGUAUCGACCCGUGCUGUAUCGUAGCCAACGCGUUAAGUCUCCCCGCCUGGGGAGUACGCACGCAAGUUGUGAAACUUAAAGGGAAUUGACGG
rnacentral:rRNA from 1 species